GAAAUGCGAUACGUCAUGCGAAUUGCAGAACCUAGUGAGUCAUCAAAAUUUUGAACGCAACUUGCACUUCCCUUCGGGGAAGUAUGUCUGUUGGAGUGUCUGUUCAUCCCCACUAUUGCUCCUCUUUGAUGAGUGAUAAUGACAGCCUUUUCUUCGUGUUAUGCGAUGAAAUGCGCUCAGAUGUAACACCAAUCCGAAUCUCGCCCCUGCUCUUGUAUGAGAGAUGGGAAGCGUGACUUGACUUCAAACUCAAACACGCAUACCUGACUUAUACGCAACAUGAGAGCCUCGGCUGAGUAUCCGUUCGGACCUCCAAUCAGGCAAGAUUACCCGCUGAAUUUAA
rnacentral:misc_RNA from 1 species